rnacentral:rRNA from 1 species
AACGAACGCUGGCGGCAGGCCUAACACAUGCAAGUCGAACGCUCGUAGCAAUACGGGAGUGGCGCACGGGUGAGUAACGCGUGGGCACCUACCCGGUGGUCCGGAAUAACCGCGGGAAACUGCGGCUAAUACCGAAUAAGCCCUUAGGGGGAAAGAUUUAUCGCCAUCGGAUGGGCCCGCGUCGGAUUAGCUAGUUGGUGUGGUAACGGCGCACCAAGGCGACGAUCCGUAGCUGGUCUGAGAGGAUGAUCAGCCACACUGGGACUGAGACACGGCCCAGACUCCUACGGGAGGCAGCAGUGGGGAAUAUUGGACAAUGGGCGCAAGCCUGAUCCAGCCAUGCCGCGUGAGUGAAGAAGGCCUUCGGGUUGUAAAGCUCUUUUGGCGGGGACGAUGAUGACGGUACCCGCAGAAUAAGCCCCGGCUAACUUCGUGCCAGCAGCCGCGGUAAGACGAAGGGGCUAGCGUUGUUCGGAAUUACUGGGCGUAAAGGGCGCGUAGGCGGUUUGUUAAGUCAGGCGUGAAAGCCCUGGGCUCAACCUGGGAUGUGCGCUUGAUACUGGCAGGCUUGAGUGCAGGAGAGGAUGGUGGAAUUCCCAGUGUAGAGGUGAAAUUCGUAGAUAUUGGGAAGAACACCGGUGGCGAAGGCGGCCAUCUGGACUGCAACUGACGCU